CUAGCCGUAAACGAUGGAUACUAGGCGUUGCGAGUAUCGACCCUCACAGUGUCGUAGCUAACGCGUUAAGUAUCCCGCCUGGGGAGUACGCGCGCAAGCGUGAAACUCAAAGGAAUUGACGGGGGCCCGCACAAGCGGUGGAGUAUGUGGUUUAAUUCGAUGCAACGCGAAGAACCUUACCAGGACUUGACAUGUCGCGAAUCUCAGGGAAACUUGAGAGUGCCUUCGGGAGCGCGAACACAGGUGGUGC
rnacentral:rRNA from 1 species